GCUCUUGACAUGGAAAAAGAAGAAACAAGAACUGGAAGUGUAAUUAAACUAUACUGCUCUCCCCACACUACUACAUAUCUGUCUUUCCUCUGGUGUGAGUGUUGUUUUUUUUUUUUUUUUUGGGUGUUGAUGGAAGGUACAAAGAGAGGCUGUGAUGAUGAUGUUUCUAUAUCUGGGAUAACCAAUUUGGGCGUGGAGAUUAUCCAGCCCGUAUCUUGGCUUGGCAACCCAACAUGGCUUGUGACUGAGAUUUCUUUCUCUCACAUGCAAUUGGUGUUUGCAGCCAUGGCGUGGCUGGAUUCUCUUUAGCUUUAUCUUAACACGCAUCUGAGCCUUUUUCUUUAUUUGGUAUGAUAAUGACAUGGGUUGAGCUUAAAUGGAGGAACAUGGUUAGUGGCGAUUCAUAUAGCGGAUCCCAACUUCUGGGAAUCAAGCUCAGGUCUUUUGAGUGAGCCAAAUAUCCUAACUGACUAUACUACAACGGAAAUGUAACUACAAGAUAAUUACAGCAUUGAAGGAGGCUUAUAAUUCCUCUACACAUGGAAUUUUAAAGAGGCCCACCUCGUGGCAUGGCAACCCGAUUUCGUUGGUGCCUUAAAGUGUCAGAUGCAACUUGGGUUGCAGCCAUGGCUGUUCAGCUCAUUGGCUCUUGCCUGAGUACGUAUCCGAGCCUUAGCUUUCUUCAUAUUCUAGGUAGUGUUUUCCAUAGCUCUCAGGUGUGCAGUGGUAAAUUGAGCCUUUGAAACAUCCUACAAAUUCUGUUUAAGUUAAGGAGGAAAUGUAUUUGUACUCUUGAUAUCAAGUAUGCUUGAUAGUAUUGCUUAUCAGUCAAGGAUUAAACUUGCUUGGAGUUGACUUUAAUCACCAAAAGGUUAAUAAAAAAUCUGUGUAAGUUCACCGUGGGGCCACCAAAGUGGCUAACGGCAUCAUAUAAACAUCUUUGAGAUGUUUUUCUGACUGUAGGGGUAAUAUUAUUCUCCUUAAUUUUGACAGAUAUUCUAAAGAGGUGUGGGGCUACAUAGAGAUGAGAAGUUCUAAGGGUGCAAAUGAUGGUAACAAUACAAACUUAACAGCCCUUUUGAUUUUACAUGUCUGCUCUCCGAUAAAUUAUAAAUUGGGAUUAAAAAAUUAUAGAGCACUUGUUAGAACUAUUGUUUUACCUAUUCUUCUACUUCGUUAACUUUAGAUUUAUGCACAGGCUGUGAUGAUGAUAGUGUCUGUUAUGAACCCACAGGAGAUACUAGAGGGUACUAGACGCAGUGCACGUGCCAUACACCCUCCCAAAUAUUUGGAGAAUUUCGUGGUCCCCAAUCUAAAGAAAUGACAAGGUCUGUAAAAUCUGUUAGAGGUAGUGGAGGAUUCGCAAGUUACCAUCUGAUGCAACUUAUGCUUCUAUAAAUAUCCAGCAAGGCUAGAAUGAUAGGAUUAUGUAUGAAAUUGAGUAUUUUCUUUUUUGGCUAGUUUUGUCUGGAACCCUUCCCCAUUUCUUUACUGUUUCAUUGACAUUUUUCAGUGUAUUUUCCUAGUCCAGUUCUUAGAUCCUUCACGGUAAUUGUAUUUUGAGUUCAAUCAACACAAGUUCAUACCAAUUUGGUGCUCUCGUUGACCCUCUCCUUCCACUGACAAUGGGUGACGGACCUCCGACGACUCGCCUGAAAACUUUGGAUGACUCCAUGAAAUUGGUUCAUGACCAGCUUGCUACCCAUGCCCAAAAUUUUGAGAACAUUAAUGCUACCCUGCAGGUUCAACAGUCCCUGUUUCAAGAUAUCUCGACCCAACUUGCUCAGAUGCAAAACCAGCCUAAAAACCAAACCACCCCACAAAAUACCCUACAGUUAAACCNNNNNNNNNNNNNNNNNNNNNNNNNCCUUGCCGAGGGCCUGUGCACCCCCGGGAUUAGUCGGGGCUCAAAGAGACUUGGACACCCGGUGCAAAUCAAAAAAAAAACCCGCUGGGCUCUUUUCGCAGAGAUAAACCGGCCACCAUAGACCUGCCACAAUUUGAUGGUUCCGACGCUGUGAGUUGGAUUUUUCAAGCCAAUCGAUAUUUUGACUUUUACAACGUCUCUGCUGAAAAUCGUCUUAGUAUCUGUCCGUUCUAUUUGGAGGGUGACGCUAGAGAUUGGUAUCAAUGGAUGUACAACAAUCACCAACUCUUCAGUUGGGAACACUUUUCCAAGGCCCUUGUGAUUCGAUUCGGUUCUAAAUCGAUUGAAUCACCGGAGAGUUUAUUAGCUAAACUACAGAUGACUUCUUCAGUGACCGAGUAUCUCACUCGUUUUGAAAAGCUUGCUAAUCAGACGACCCAAGUUUAACCGGGGUUGUUGUUACACUUGUUUACAUCCGGCCUGCGACAAGAUAUCAAAACUGACGUGCUAUCGUUUAGGCCAAUGGACUUUCAUGAUGCUAUUGGGCUGGCCUUUCUACAAGAACAAAAGAUAUUUGGCUCUGUUAAUUCAAUAACUUCGACCCGGCCCAAUCAGACUGGUAAGUCUAUCUUUUACCCUUCAACGCAGUUGUCUUCGUCACUUCCAAAGACUUCUGCACCAGUUUCUUCAAUUCCCUCUCCAUCAGUUACGCCCUCAGCCGCCCUUCCUGGUGUGGGUCGCGUACCUUUUAAGAAGCUAACCCCAGCUGAGCUGCAGCGUAAAAGAGAUCUCAAUCUCUGCUUUAAUUGUGAUGCUAAAUGGCACAGAAACCACAAAUGUUCUUCUACACCACAACUUUUACUGCUUUUGGCUGAUGAUGACUCCACGAUUGAGGACCUUCCUUCAGAGUCCUUUGAUACACCCUCUAAUACACCAUCAGUGGUGGUGCCUCCCCAAGCUCCACCCGAUGAUACCACAGUUCCCACUAUUAACUAUCUAGCUUUGUCAGGAGGCUCGACUCCGGCUUCACUACGCUUUACUGGCCAAAUCAAAGGGUUUGAUGGUCAGGUGUUUAUCGACGGAGGUAGCACUCAUAAUUUCAUUCACCCUCGUAUUGCUAAAUUUCUAAAAUUGCCAGUUGAAAGUUCCUCCAAAUUCUCUGUUAUGGUCGGCAAUGGCAACCUCCUACCAUGUCAAGGUGUGGUUCGUCAGUUGUCCGUCAGUGUUCAAGGGUUUUCAUUUGCCACAGAUUUCUUUGUUAUAGAUUUCCAUGGGUCGGAUCUAGUUUUGGGUAUUAUUUGGUUAGCUACUUUGGGUCCAACAAUAACAGACUAUGCCAAACGCACAUUUCAAUUUGAGGCCGAAAAUCGAGUAAUUUGUUGGACAGGUUCUGACCCACCUUUGGAGCAAGUCCAGUUAUCUUCACUACGCCGUCUUUCUGAAACCGAAUCCAUUGCCUGCCUCUUUCACCUUGAACUCCUUCCCAUAACACCACCUCCUGUAUCAGAUCAUCCAUCAGAUCUUUCUACUCUUCUUGACUCUUUUUCUGAUGUUUUUGCUAAAGCCUCGGCUCUCCCACCUACACGUCCACAAGAUCACCGUAUUCCUUUAAUUCCUGGCUCCACCCCUAUUAACGUUCGACCAUACCAUUACCCUCAUUUCCAAAAGGCUGAAAUUGAGAAAUUGGUUUCUGAAAUGCUGCAAUCGGGCAUUAUCCGCCCUAGCUCAAGCCCAUACUCUUCCCCUGUUCUUUUGGUUCGGAAGAAGGAUGGUACAUGGCACUUUUGUGUUGAUUACCGGGCUUUGAACUCUAUUAUUAUCAAAGAUCGCUUUCCAAUUCCUACAAUUGAUGAACUCUUUGAUGAGUUACUGGGUGCUCGCUUCUUUUCUAAGUUGGAUUUGUUGGCAGGAUAUCACCAAAUUCGUGUACACCCUGCUGAUAUCGAGAAAACUGCUUUUCGGACACACGAAGGUCACUAUGAGUUCAUCGUCAUGCCGCUCGGCCUAUCCAAUGCCCCCUCUACUUUUCAGGCCACCAUGAACUCUAUUUUUAAGCCCUUCCUUCGUCGUUUUGUCCUAGUUUUCUUCGAUGAUAUUUUGGUCUACAGUCACUCUUGGCUAGACCACCUUGAUCAUUUGUCCCAAGUUUUUGACCUUCUUCGCCAGAACUCACUGGUUGUCAAACGUUCAAAAUGCCAAUUUGGACAAACUUCCAUUGACUACCUCGGCCAUAUAAUUUCUUCCAAGGGCUUACAGGUUGAUCCUGCAAAAAUUCAGGCCAUUGAAUCCUGGCCUCCUCCUUCUUCGUCAAAGAUGUACGGGGUUUCUUGGGGCUCACAGGCUAUUAUCGCCGCUUUGUCAAAAGCUAUGCUCAACUGGCUUCCCCAUUAACUGAUCUUUUAAAGAAGGAUGCUUUCAAAUGGUCCGACUUGGAAUCUAAAUCUUUCUUGCAAUUGAAGCAUGCUUUAAGCACAGUCCCUGUUCUUUGCCUUCCCAACUUUACCAAAGCUUUCUCUGUGGAAACUGAUGCAUCCGGUUGUGGAAUUGGUGCUGUUCUCUCACAAGAUGGCCAUCCUAUAGCAUUCUUUAGCCAAAAACUUUCUCCAAGGAUGCAAGUUGUCUCGACAUACCAUCGUGAAAUGUUUGCCAUCACUCAGGCAGUCCAGAAAUGGCGGCAAUAUUUGUUGGGUCGUAAGUUUUUAAUCAUCACUGAUCAGCAGCCUCUUCGAGCUCUUACCAAUCAGGUUAUUCAAACCCCCGAGCAGCAACGUUGGCUAAGCAAGCUUAUAGGCUAUGAUUUUGACAUAAUAUAUCGUCCUGGAAAACUUAAUUCUGCUGCAGAUGCUCUCUCACGUGUGCCUGAUUUACAAUCUCUCACGAUGGCUGUUACUGAGUUUGCACUGAUUGAGAAAUUGAGGCAAUUGAAUACUUCUGAUCCUGAUCUACUUCGUCUCCAGCAACAGCUUAUUGAAGAUUCCAGUUCCCUUCCCAAUUUUACAUUUCAGGAGGGUCUUUUACUAUAUCGAAAUAGGCUUGUGAUUCCAAAAGAUGAUGCGCUGCGUCAGUCACUUUUACAUGAGUUCCAUGCUUCCAAAAUAGGGGGUCAUGCAGGCAUUUCCCGAACAUUUCACAGGCUCUCCUCUAACUUCUUUUGGUCGGGUAUGAGUUCAGAUGUCAAGACCUUCGUCCAAGCAUGCCAAAUUUGUCAGCAGAUGAAAGAUUCAGCCUUAAAACCUGCUGGUCUUCUCCAGCCAAUUCCACUUCCUUCUGCAAUUUUUGAAGAAAUCUCAAUGGAUUUCAUCACUGGUUUACCCUCGUCUAGUGGACGGACUGCCAUCCUAGUAAUUGUGGACAGACUCUCUAAAUAUGGGCAUUUUAUUGGUCUUCCACCCAAUUUUACUAGUCAAAAAGUUGCUGAACUUUUUAUUCUGGAGUUCAUUCGCUUACAUGGUUUUCCUAUCAAGAUCAUUACUGAUCGUGAUCCUAUCUUUUUAUCUGAAUUCUGGCAAGAAGUUAACAGAUUGCAGGGUACCCAAUUGGCUAAAAGUUCUGCCUACCACCCUCAAUCCGAUGGCCAAACAGAAGCACUCAACAAAUGUUUAGAGAUGUACCUCCGUUGCUUCACUGCUAAUACUCCUGCCGCUUGGUUCAAACUUCUUCCCUGGGCAGAGUUCUGGUACAAUACUUCAUUUCAGACAAGUUCUAAACUCACUCCAUUUGAAGUUGUUUACGGCAGACCUCCUCCAACGAUUUCAAGGUUCCUUGUUGAUAGUUCCUCCAACCAUACUGUGAUUGAAACCUUUAAGCAACGAGAUGAAACAUUAGCUAUUUUGAAAGCUAAUCUAAAACAAGCUCAGGAUCGAAUGAAAGCUUUAGCUGACAAAGGAAGACGCGAUAUUGUUUUUAAUGUGGGUGACUGGGUUUAUGUUCGCCUCAGACCUUAUCGACAGCUUUCCAUGCGUUUACAACGCUACAACAAACUAAGUCGUCGAUAUUUUGGUCGCUUCCAGAUCACUCAAAGAAUUGGAGAGGUUGCCUACAAAUUGGACUUGCCUGCCUCUUCGAGAAUUCACCCUGUCUUCCAUGUCUCAGUUUUGCGCAAAUGUAUCGGCAAACCUGCUCAACAGAUAACCCCAAUUGAUCUUUUGGAUCAAUCUACUUCCCUGUUGCUCCAGCCUGAAUAUGUCUUGCAACAUCGCCCACUAUCUUUAGGGGUGGCCAUCAAAUUGACCAAUGCUUAGUUCAAUGGACUGGAUUGCCUAAAUCAGAUGCUACCUGGGAAGAUAAGUUGAUUCUACUUCAAAAGUUCCCUAACUUGAACCUUGAGGACAUGGUUCGUCUCCAUGGGGAUGGCAAUGUUAUGAACCCACAGGAGAUACUAGAGGGUACUAGACGCAGUGCACGUGCCAUACACCCUCCCAAAUAUUUGGAGAAUUUCGUGGUCCCCAAUCUAAAGAAAUGACAAGGUCUGCAAAAUCUGUUAGAGAUAGUGGAGGACUCGCAAGUUACCAUCUGAUGCAACUUAUGCUUCUAUAAAUAUCCAGCAAGGCUAGAAUGAUAGGAUUAUGUAUGAACUUGAGUAUUUUCUUUUUUGGCUAGUUUUGUCUGGAACCCUUCCCCAUUUCUUUACUGUUUCAUUGCCAUUUUUCAGUGUAUUUUCCUAGUCCAGUUCUUAGAUCCUUCACGGUAAUUGUAUUUUGAGUGCAAUCAACACAAGUUCAUACCAGUGUCCUUUUUAUCAAGUCUAGGAUUUGACAGAACAAGUUUCUUGGCUGGCCAAUCUAUAUGGUAUUGGGCAUUUCCGCUAAAAGUUCUAUUGUUGAUUUAGCCCGGAAAAUGGCGAGAAUGAGGCAACAGAGAGUAUGGGAUUUCUUUCAAGGGUGGUCGCCCCUCUCUGCUUUGUCUAUGAUUCUCCCCCUCUUCAACAAACCAACAGCUCCUAAGAGAAAGAAAGAGAAACAUAGCACUUCAGUUACUGGUUUGCUGGAUGAUUAUAUGUGAAAUUCCCCGACAUACAAGUAUACUAUGACAAUUACACGGCCUUCAGAUCUUCAGUCUUUCUGCUCAUGGCCCUUUGCGUUUUCUUCUAGUUUGCUCUCAGUGUCUCAUUGUUUGUGGAGACUUGAAGAUGUUCCAUUAUGUAGCCUCAGCAAAAAGCUACACAACAAAAAAUAUGGAGAAGAAACUAUAAUGAGGCGAUAAAAAAGACCUCAAUUGCCCCUUAAGUUCAGCGGUAGGUCUAUAAUGGGGCCGCGAUGAAUGAUUUUUCCUAGUUUGAUGGAAUCAAGAGUUAAUAGGCCGUAUCUUGGCGGGGCAGCCUGGUAACGGGAUUUGCAGUCACGGCGGUGCUUGAAAUGGAAUACAGAUCUGAGCCUCAAUAUACUUAUAAAAAAAAACUUUUUUCCUGGUUCAAGAAUAUGAUUUAGCCUUCGGCCUUCAGGUUACAAAUUAGAAGAAAAAGAAUUCUUCACCCCUAACGUUUCACCAAGCCUGUUGUUGAAGUUCCUGCAUGGCUGUGUUUUCAACACAUCGAAACCUUGAUAGCAAUGGAUAUUGCAUCAGUCUGGAACAUGGGAAAAUUUGUUUCAACUUCUGGGAAUCGAACUCGGGUCUCUUGAGUGAGAUCCAGAUAUCCUAGCUGACUAGACUACAACCGGAAAAGGAGCACAUAAUAAUUACAGAAUUGAAAGAGGCUGUGAUGAUAAUUAAUGUACACAAGGAAAUGGGGAUUGAGUUAAAGAGGCUCGCCUCUUGGCGAGGUAAGCCGAUUUUGAAGGUGCCUUGAGGCCUCGAUGCAAGCUUGGGUUGCAGUCAUGGCGAUUCUGCUCAUGACCUCGUGCUAGAGUACAUAUCUGAGCCUUCUUCUUAUUUUAGAUUGUGUUGACCUUCUUGGCUCUCAGGGUACAGUGGUAAAUUAAGCCUUGAAACAUCCGAUCAAACAGAUUCUGUUUAAAUUAAGCUGGAAAUGUGUUUUACUCUUGAAAAAGUAUGCUUUAUAGUAUGCCUUAUCUAUGAAGGACUAAACUGGCUUGAAGUUGACUAACAGGCUAGUCGAAGCUGGAAGUUCUCUGUGGCGCCACAGAAGUGAUGAACGUAUCAAUUAGACAACUUUGAGUUGCGUUCUUAUUGUUCGGGCAAUGUUAUUCCCCUUAAUUGUGAUAGUAUUCUAUGUAGGUAUUGCUUAAAAAAAUUAUAGAGUACUUGUUAGAACUAUCGUUUUACCUGCUCUUCUAUUUUGUUAAAUUGAGAUCUAUGCACAGGCUGUAGUAUGUCCUUUUAAUCAGGUCUUGGAUUUAACUGUACAAGUUUCUUGGCUGGCCAAUCUGUAUGAUACUGUAUUUGCAGCCAUAGCAUUGUCUCUGUCUUUCUUUGCCUGAUCAUAUGGGGGAUCUAAGCCUUACCCACUUGAAAUCACUUGCUCUGUUUGUCUGUACGUUCAGCUUUUCUGCUUUUAUGAAAGAGAUCAUGAGGACAAAAGACUGUAGUAUACUGAUCAAUAUGGUAGCGCUUAGCCAUGCCCAAUUGCCGAUACUUGUUCCAAAAGUCAGGCACAACCGCACAACAGAAGAACUUGUCUUCGAAAUUUCUUAUGACUUGCAGCUAGGUCAUAUCAGAGGAAUAAAAAGAGGUUUACUUGACUGGCUCUCUUUAUUUGAGAAGCUUUGCUGUGUUUUCUCUUAAAUAUCUCUUUUUGAAAUGGAUGUACCAAUAGGGAGCCUAAGAAAGGGGUUUGAACCCUCCAAUUCGUUACGCAAUCGACCAUAGAUCAAUUCCCUCUUUGUUUAAACAACAUUGGUGCACGGACCAAUUUAUGCACACCUUGGCUAAUCUACUGGAUACUUGUUACCUUACACCAUGCAUGUAAUGUUGCCCAUCAAUGUUUAGAUAGAUAAGAAAAAACCACCUAGUUAUUUGUCUUUGUUGCGAUUUGAAUCCUGAUUUUUCAUACUUUUCCAGCUUCAUUUGGCCGCUAUAACACACCCUUCUUUGCAUGUCUAUGUUUUGGAUGCUUUGCACCCUUUGAGGCCAUGUUUCUAUAUGCUGUGCAAUAACUUGCGUAGCAUUCGAUCUGAUAAAUAAAAGUUUUGUCAGGGUAGAGGGAGCGCGGUUAUGGAUUCGAUGACCUGCAUGAGCAGAUAUAGUCAACUUGGUCUCUAGUUCACAACUGUUUGUUGAAUCGGAGCAGGAGUAAUGCGUCAUCAGAGGUCUUAUUGUCAUAUGGUUUUUGCUUCUCUGCUGAGCAAACAAAAUCAAUAGCCCAUCCAAUGGUAAUUUUAAUUUUUAAUCCCCUAUUGUGGAUUGAAUUAACUGUGUACUGGUAGGUCCAUUACUAUGAUGUAUCUGCUGUGUUUAUGCAGACCUCCUCUUGAAGGUUGCACUCCUCGUAAGCCCAUUCCACAAUUCUCUAAAUCGACCCCCCUAUAGCUAGACUUGUGAUAUCUUGUUGAGCAUUUUCCCUUGAAUUCUAGUAAAGCUUGGCAUUUGCGGUUAUGGUAUCGGAAGUUCCUUUAAGCAGUGUUCAGGCAUAACAUAUACAACAACCAAAUUUGUACGGGAAAAAGCAAAUGGAGGUUGCAGUACCGGAUUUAUCUUGUGCUCUUAUAUUUGGGAUUUGUUGCAAGUCUUCUACUAGAUUAAAUUCCCAUGCUCCAGGUGGUUCAAACUUAAUAUUCUGAUUAUUCAAGGAUCAUUUUAAUUACCUGUUUUUCCAUAUCCCUAAAUAAGUGUUCAAAAAUGUGUUUUGGGAUAUUUAUAUCGAAGUAUGUGUUGAAGAUUCAAGGGGAUGCUUUUUGUGGUGUUUUUCCAUGGGUUUCAAGUAGCUUGACAACAGGGAAUUUGACAAGAUUGGUGGCCCUUUCUCUGCUAUGUUUAUUUCCUUUUCUGAGCAGAAGAAACCAACAGGCCUUCUUUUGGCUGUAGGCUGUGAUGAUCUCUAAUCUUCAAUUCGCCAAAACCCCGUAGAAGGCUGUGAUCAUCUUUCUUUUCUUGUUUUCAAUUUCUCCAAGCUGACUUGUUUGGACUGAGGUGUAGUUGUAUAUUCUGAGAAAGUUCUUAGGGACAAUAGCAAAAUCUUAUUUGCUUACUGGCGAUUGAACGCAAUGACGUGCUGAAGUUGUUUGGCAUGCCUAAGUUAUUUUUUUUAAUCUCGUUUCAUAGUUUUAGCUGAUUUGGGUGGCUUAUAUGGGUUCUAUAUAUCUCCGCGCAUACACUCGUACAAUUUUCACUUCGAUGUUAGUUGGCUCAUUUCUGCCAUUAAUUAUAAAGAAAAUUUUAUGCUGUA
rnacentral:lncRNA from 1 species